GAAGGUGUGUCGUGAGGCAUGCUGGAGGUAUCAGAAGUGCGAAUGCUGACAUAAGUAACGAUAAAGCGGGUGAAAAGCCCGCUCGCCGGAAGACCAAGGGUUCCUGUCCAACGUUAAUCGGGGCAGGGUGAGUCGACCCCUAAGGCGAGGCCGAAAGGCGUAGUCGAUGGGAAGCGGGUUAAUAUUCCCGUACUUGGUGUUACUGCGAAGGGGGGACGGAGAAGGCUAUGUUGGCCGGGCGACGGUUGUCCCGGUUUAAGCGUGUAGGUGUGUGUUCCAGGUAAAUCCGGUUCACUUUAACACUGAGGCGUGACGACGAGGCACUACGGUGCUGAAGCAACAAAUGCCCUGCUUCCAGGAAAAGCCUCUAAGCAUCAGGUAACAUCAAAUCGUACCCCAAACCGACACAGGUGGUCAGGUAGAGAAUACCAAGGCGCUUGAGAGAACUCGGGUGAAGGAACUAGGCAAAAUGGUGCCGUAACUUCGGGAGAAGGCACGCUGACACGUAGGUGAAGUGAUUUACUCAUGGAGCUGAAGUCAGUCGAAGAUACCAGCUGGCUGCAACUGUUUAUUAAAAACACAGCACUGUGCAAACACGAAAGUGGACGUAUACGGUGUGACGCCUGCCCGGUGCCGGAAGGUUAAUUGAUGGGGUCAGCGCAAGCGAAGCUCCUGAUCGAAGCCCCGGUAAACGGCGGCCGUAACUAUAACGGUCCUAAGGUAGCGAAAUUCCUUGUCGGGUAAGUUCCGACCUGCACGAAUGGCGUAAUGAUGGCCAGGCUGUCUCCACCCGAGACUCAGUGAAAUUGAACUCGCUGUGAAGAUGCAGUGUACCCGCGGCAAGACGGAAAGACCCCGUGAACCUUUACUAUAGCUUGACACUGAACAUUGAGCCUUGAUGUGUAGGAUAGGUGGGAGGCUUUGAAGUGUGGACGCCAGUCUGCAUGGAGCCGACCUUGAAAUACCACCCUUUAAUGUUUGAUGUUCUAACGUGGACCCGUUACCCGGGUUGCGGACAGUGUCUGGUGGGUAGUUUGACUGGGGCGGUCUCCUCCUAAAGAGUAACGGAGGAGCACGAAGGUUGGCUAAUCCUGGUCGGACAUCAGGAGGUUAGUGCAAUGGCAUAAGCCAGCUUGACUGCGAGCGUGACGGCGCGAGCAGGUGCGAAAGCAGGUCAUAGUGAUCCGGUGGUUCUGAAUGGAAGGGCCAUCGCUCAACGGAUAAAAGGUACUCCGGGGAUAACAGGCUGAUACCGCCCAAGAGUUCAUAUCGACGGCGGUGUUUGGCACCUCGAUGUCGGCUCAUCACAUCCUGGGGCUGAAGUAGGUCCCAAGGGUAUGGCUGUUCGCCAUUUAAAGUGGUACGCGAGCUGGGUUUAGAACGUCGUGAGACAGUUCGGUCCCUAUCUGCCGUGGGC
rnacentral:rRNA from 1 species